rnacentral:rRNA from 1 species
AGUCCCGCAACGAGCGCAACCCUUGCCUUUAGUUGCCAGCAUUAAGUUGGGCACUCUAGAGGGACUGCCAGGGAUAACCUGGAGGAAGGUGGGGAUGACGUCAAAUCAUCAUGCCCCUUAUGCUUAGGGCUACACACGUGCUACAAUGGGUGGUACAGAGGGCAGCCAAGUCGUGAGGCCGAGCUAAUCCCUUAAAGCCAUUCUCAGUUCGGAUUGUAGGCUGAAACUCGCCUACAUGAAGCUGGAGUUACUAGUAAUCGCAGAUCAGAAUGCUGCGGUGAAUGCGUUCCCGGGUCUUGUACACACCGCCCGUCACACCACGGAAGUUGGGGGCGCCCGAAGCCACUUAGCUAACCCUUUUGGGAAGCGAGUGUCGAAGGUGAAAUCAAUAACUGGGGUGAAGUCGUAACAAGGUAGCCGUAUCG